GGGGUUAGAUGGCACCUUUGGGUUUUCCUCCUGGGGAAUAUCAGACCUGUGGGAAAGGUCCAACCUCACAUGUCCUGUAUGUACGGAAGGGGAUAUAUGUGGUCAGACCUGUCCCACAGGCCCUGUAUUCUUACACAAGCGCAGAGACCUUAACAUGCCAUCUGACCGU
ensembl:miRNA